rnacentral:lncRNA from 10 species
UUAUUUGCUUCUCGUACUAUCAGGGCAGUUGAUACCACAGCCCUCAAACAUGAGGGGCCAUCCUUUAGAAACCCUCUCUAGUUGUUUAGACACGUAGGCCACCGGCCACAGCCAGGGUCCCAGAGUUUCGGUUAAAAGUCCAGCUGCCAUCUUUUCUCUAUCUGACGCAUUCAAUGGAAAAGGCUUGGUCAGAUCGGGUAGCCCCAGGGCUGGGGCUGCCAGAAGUUUUUCCUUUAACUCAUGAAAGACUUGCUGUUGUUGGGAUCCCCAUUUCAAAGGUUCCCGGUCCCCGCCCCCUUUGUGACCUCAUACAAAGGCUUGGCUAAUACUGCAAAGUUUGGGAUGCACAGUCUACAAAACCCCACAGCCCCUAAGAAUUCCCUCACCUGCCCCCUUUGUGACCUCAUACAAAGGCUUGGCUAAUAAUGCAAAAUUUGGGAUGCAGAGUCUACAAAACCCCACAGCCCCUAAGAAUUCCCUCACCUGCCUUCUGCCCUUAGGCUCCGGUAGACUGCAAAUGACCUGCUUUCUUUCUGUUCCCGGGCUGCGUUUGGACCCCUGUCGGAUAGUAAAUCCCAAGCUCCGGUAGACUGCAAAUGACCUGCUUUCUUUCUGUUCCCGGGCUGCGUUUGGACCCCUGUCGGACAGUAAAUCCCAAGUAAGGUACCUGCCCUCGGCAGAUUUGAGCUUUCUUCUUGGACACCUAAUACCCACAGUCCUCCAGGAUAACUUCAGGAAGUGGGUAUUAAUUCUCACGGUAUAAGUGAAGACAUUAAGCACCAGAGUUUAAGUAGCUUGCUAGAUCCACUGAAAGAGAUUCAACUGUGUGGAACCUAUGCCGUGGAGAAUUGCUUUCUGCCAUUGUUAUCGUCCAGCAGUUGCCGAAUAGCUCUGACCUGAGCAAAGCAGUGAAACGCGGUGCUGUUGAGUGGGUUGCCACUGCACCUUUUUCAACUACUCUAGUCUUGUGGAGAAAAUACCCCUUCUAAAUUUUUUCUUCAUUGAAUACUCUCCCUCAGCUCCAGAGUACCAUAUAGAGUUUUCUUGUAUUUUAGAGUUACUGUUUUAUCAAAGUUUACCAGUCUUUUGUAUUACAUUUCUCCUGUCUAAAUCGACUGUGUGGUUUCUACUCAUUAUGGAUAUAGAUUGAUACAAACUCA